GGACGGGUGAGUAACACGUGAGUAACCUGCCUUAGACAUUGGGAUAGCCUCGGGAAACCGGGAUUAAUACCAAAUAGAAUCAUAAUGACACAUGUCAUAACGAUCAAAACUCCGGUGGUCUAAGAUGGACUCGCGUCCCAUUAGCUAGUUGGUAGAGUAAAAGCCUACCAAGGCGACGAUGGGUAGCCGGCCUGAGAGGGUGAACGGCCACAUUGGAACUGAGAAACGGUCCAA
rnacentral:rRNA from 1 species